ACGGAUACGUCUAAUUUUGCUAUCCCUAUUACUUUUGGCAUAGGACCCCCAAUGGCUGCAUAUACGUACUUGUUCUUUUUUCCAACAUAAGCUGGAUUGAUGACUCCAAAAUCAAGAUUUCUUGUAGAAAUUGGAUGUCUGCUCACCAUUCCUGUCUUCAAAUUUAUUUUCACUUUCUCAACACUUGCAUGUAUCAUGUCCAUCCUCUCUAGUGUAUGUUCCACCGAUAAUAUAUUCGGCGCGAUCAACACUAUCGUAUCACCUCCAUCCUCAUCCCACGCGUUUAUCGCGUGUACAA
rnacentral:misc_RNA from 1 species